UGGGAGUAAAGCGUUAGAAAAGUAACGCAAUUACAGUAAUGUAUUCCUUUUUGCUGUAAUGCCUUAAUAUAACGCAUUACUAAUAAAAUGGCAGUAAUA